GGCCCGUUGGUCAAGCGGUUAAGACACCGCCCUUUCACGGCGGUAACACGGGUNGUUAAGACACCGCCCUUUCACGGCGGUAACACGGGUUCGAAUCCCGUACGGGUCACCA
rnacentral:tRNA from 1 species